rnacentral:rRNA from 1 species
CCGGAGGAGGAAGCCCCGGCUAACUACGUGCCAGCAGCCGCGGUAAUACGUAGGGGGCAAGCGUUGUCCGGAUUCACUGGGCGUAAAGCGCGCGCAGGCGGUGAUGUAAGUCUGAGGUGAAAACCCGAAGCUCAACUUCGGGACUGCCUUGGAUACUGCGUCACUUGAGGAUAGGAGAGGCAAGGGGAAUUCCACGUGUAGCGGUGAAAUGCGUAGAGAUGUGGAGGAACACCUGUGGCGAAGGCGCCUUGCUGGCCUAUUUCUGACGCUGAGGCGCGAAAGCGUGGGGAGCAAACAGGAUUAGAUACCCUGGUAGUCCACGCUGUAAACGAUGAGUGCUAGGUGUAGGUGGGCUCAUACCCAUCUGUGCCGAAGCUAACGCAUUAAGCACUCCGCCUGGGGAGUACGGUCGCAAGACUGAAACUCAAAGGAAUUGACGG